CGUCAAGGUCCGGAGUCUGUGGGUUAUCAAAUGGUUGACUUUCUCCCAUGGGCAUUCACUCGACCUGUAC
rnacentral:sRNA from 1 species